GAUGAACGCUAGCGGGAGGCUUAACACAUGCAAGUCGAGGGGCAGCACGAGGUAGCAAUACUUUGGUGGCGACCGGCGCACGGGUGAGUAACGCGUAUGUAACCUACCCUGUACAGGGGAAUAACCCGGAGAAAUUCGGACUAAUACCCCAUAAAGAUAUUUUGAGGCAUCUUAGAAUAUUUAAAGUUUCGGCGGUACGGGAUGGGCAUGCGUAACAUUAGCUAGUUGGUAGGGUAACGGCCUACCAAGGCUACGAUGUUUAGGGGUCCUGAGAGGGUGAUCCCCCACACUGGUACUGAGACACGGACCAGACUCCUACGGGAGGCAGCAGUGAGGAAUAUUGGUCAAUGGGCGCAAGCCUGAACCAGCCAUCCCGCGUGCAGGAAGACGGCCCUAUGGGUUGUAAACUGCUUUUCCAGGGGGUAAACUCCCGUACGUGUACGGGACUGACGGUACCCUGGGAAUAAGCAUCGGCUAACUCCGUG
rnacentral:rRNA from 1 species